rnacentral:rRNA from 1 species
GACGAACGCUGGCGGCGUGCUUAACACAUGCAAGUCGAACGGAAAGGCCCUGCUUUUGUGGGGUGCUCGAGUGGCGAACGGGUGAGUAACACGUGAGUAACCUGCCCUUGACUUUGGGAUAACUUCAGGAAACUGGGGCUAAUACCGGAUAGGAGCUCCUGCUGCAUGGUGAGGGUUGGAAAGUUUCGGCGGUUGGGGAUGGACUCGCGGCCUAUCAGCUUGUUGGUGGGGUAGUGGCUUACCAAGGCUUUGACGGGUAGCCGGCCUGAGAGGGUGACCGGCCACAUUGGGACUGAGAUACGGCCCAGACUCCUACGGGAGGCAGCAGUGGGGAAUAUUGCACAAUGGGCGGAAGCCUGAUGCAGCAACGCCGCGUGCGGGAUGACGGCCUUCGGGUUGUAAACCGCUUUCGCCUGUGACGAAGCGUGAGUGACGGUAAUGGGUAAAGAAGCACCGGCUAACUACGUG